rnacentral:rRNA from 1 species
GUCCACGCCGUAAACGAUGAGUACUAGGUGCUGCUGGUAUUGACCCCUGCGGUGCCGUCGCUAACGCAUUAAGUACUCCGCCUGGGAAGUACGGCUGCAAGGCUAAAACUCAAAGGAAUUGACGGGGGCCCGCACAAGCGGUGGAGCAUGUGGUUCAAUUCGACGCAACGCGAAGAACCUUACCCAGACUUGACAUCGAUGGAACCUGGUAGAAAUACCGGGGUGCCCUUCGGGGCCCAGAAGACAGGUGCUGCAUGGCUGUCGU